CCAAUAGCGUAUAUUAAAGUUGUUGCAGUUAAAAAGCUCGUAGUUGAAUUUCGGGGUUAGUAGGUUGGUCAUGCCUCUGGUAUGUACUGGUCUCACUGAUUCCUCCUUCCUGAUGAGCCGUAAUGCCAUUAAUUUGGUGUUGCGGGGAAUUUGGACUGUUACUUGGAAAAAAUUAGAGUGUUUAAAGCAAGCUAACGCUUGAAUACAUUAGCAUGGAAUAAUGAAAUAGGACGUUCGAUCCUAUUUUGUUGGUUUCUAGGAUUGACGUAAUGAUUAAUAGGGAUAGUUGGGGGCAUUAGUAUUCAAUUGUCAGAGGUGAAAUUCUUGGAUUUAUUGAAGACUAACUACUGCGAAAGCAUUUGCCAAGGAUGUUUUCAUUAAUCAAGAACGAAAGUUAGGGGAUCGAAGACGAUCAGAUACCGUCGUAGUCUUAACCAUAAACUAUGCCGACUAGGGAUCGGAUGAUGUUAAUUUUUUAAUGACUCAUUCGGCGCCUUACG
rnacentral:rRNA from 1 species